rnacentral:rRNA from 1 species
GUCGAACGCGCGGAUCAGGAGCUUGCUCCUGUGACGCGAGUGGCGGACGGGUGAGUAACACGUAGGCAACCUGCCCAUCAGACCGGGAUAACCACGGGAAACCGUGACUAAUACCGGAUAAUCCUUUUCCUCACAGGAGGGAAAGUUGAAAGGCGGUCUUUUGACUGCCACUGAUGGAUGGGCCUGCGGCGCAUUAGCUAGUUGGUGGGGUAAGGGCCCACCAAGGCGACGAUGCGUAGCCGACCUGAGAGGGUGAUCGGCCACACUGGGACUGAGACACGGCCCAGACUCCUACGGGAGGCAGCAGUAGGGAAUCUUCCGCAAUGGACGAAAGUCUGACGGAGCAACGCCGCGUGAGUGAAGAAGGGUUUCGGCUCGUAAAACUCUGUUGUCAGGGAAGAACGUCCCCGUGAGUAACUGCACGGGGAGUGACGGUACCUGACCAGAAAGCCACGGCUAACUACGUGCCAGCAGCCGCGGUAAUACGUAGGUGGCAAGCGUUAUCCGGAAUUAUUGGGCGUAAAGCGCGCGUAGGCGGUCUGUUAAGUCUGAUGUGAAAGCCCCCGGCUCAACCGGGGAGGGUCAUUGGAAACUGGCAGACUUGAGUGCAGAAGAGGAGAGUGGAAUUCCAUGUGUAGCGGUGAAAUGCGCAGAGAUAUGGAGGAACACCAGUGGCGAAGGCGGCUCUCUGGUCUGUAACUGACGCUGAGGUGCGAAAGCGUGGGGAUCAAACAGGAUUAGAUACC